ensembl:snoRNA
AUGCAUGUGAUGAAGCAAAUCAGGAUGAAUGUCAUGAUACUGUAAAUGCUUUCUGAUGAA